AACAACUCUAGUUGUCCAGUGUUUGAUUUGUAAAACUGUUUCAGAUACAGGACAAACUGGAGGCAAGGGACAUGACAA
rfam:Medicago truncatula strain A17 chromosome 1, whole genome shotgun sequence.